GAGUUCAAGAACUGGAACAUCUGCUACAAGAUCAAGAAAAAGAAAAGAAAUUCCAUAUGAACAAACUUCAAGAAAUUCAACUCCAGCUGGAGAAAACAAAAUUGGAAUGCACAGAAAAAAGAUUCUGUUUUGCACAAAAUUAGAGAUGAAUUGAAUAGAAUGACAGCACAACAUGAUCAAGGUACUGCCCAGACUGAAAUGAUGGAGGAAAACAUGAAAAGAUUACUGAAAUGGCAAAGCGAAGUUGAAAUUAAUCGUCGCUCCUUAGAAGAGAAAAGAAAAGAACGGGAAAAGGAAGUAUUACGUCAGCUCCGUGCCUUAGAGACAGUGGCUCAGCAGGCCAAGGAGAUCAUACUGAACCAGGACUUGCAGCAAGCCAAG